rnacentral:rRNA from 1 species
GUGAGGAAUAUUGGUCAAUGGGCGAAAGCCUGAACCAGCCAUGUCGCGUGAAGGAUGAAGGUCCUAUGGAUUGUAAACUUCUUUUGCAGGAGGGUAAAGUGAGCUACGUGUAGUUCAUUGCAAGUACCCUGCGAAUAAGCAUCGACUAACUCCGUGCCAGCAGCCGCGGUAAUACGGAGGAUGCGAGCGUUAUCCGGAUUUAUUGGGUUUAAAGGGUGCGUAGGCGGACUAAUUAGUCAGCGGUGAAAUUUUGCGGCUCAACCGUAAAACUGCCGUUGAAACUGUUAGUCUUGAGUGCGGUAGAGGUAGGCGGAAUGUGUGGUGUAGCGGUGAAAUGCUUAGAUAUCACACAGAACACCGAUUGCGUAGGCAGCUUACUGGAGCGCAACUGACGCUGAGGCACGAAAGCGUGGGGAUCGAACAGGAUUAGAUACCCGUGUAGUCC